rnacentral:rRNA from 1 species
CGCCCGCGUCGGUGGGCGAAGCAGGUGAAGGGGAGGAAGAAAGACUGGAGGCUGUUCUUCAACACGCUGUUCUGGAACCUCAACUACUGGGACAGCGCGAGCACCAUGGCCGGCGAGGUGGAGCGGCCGGAGCGGACGUUCCCGCGGGCACUUGCAGCAGCGGUCGUUCUGAUUGCCGCCAGUUACCUGCUGCCGCUCAUGGCCGCAACCGGCGCCACGGACGCGUCGCCGGAUGCAUGGGUGAACGGCUACUUGGCUACCGCCGCAGGCAUCAUCGGGGGACCAUGGCUCAAGUACUGGACCGGUGCAGGCGCAGUAAUCUCCUCCAUUGGCAUGUUUGAGGCCCAAAUGAGCAGUGGCGCGUUCCAGCUCCAUGGUAUGGCGGACCGAGGCCUCCUCCCGUCCGUCUUCGGCAGUCGUGCCGCUCGCACCGGCACCCCAUGGGUUGCAAUCACUGCAUCAACCGCUAUCACCAUCGCCGUCUCCUUCCUCGGUUUCGACAACAUCGUCGCAACAUCAAAUUUCCUAUAUAGCCUGGGAACACUACUCGAGUUCUCCUCCAUCCUCUGGCUCCGAGUCAAGUACCCAACACUGAAGCGCCCAUACCAUGUGCCUCUGCCACUGCCCGCGCUCAUAGCCAUGUGCAUUGUGCCAUCGGUAUUCCUAUCUUACGUGUGUGUGGUUGCUGGGUGGAGGGUAUUCACCAUUGCUGCAGGGCUGACCGCGCUCGGUGUCGGGUGGCACGGCCUCAUGAAGCUGUGCAUAUCCAAGAAGUUGCUCAGUUUUCGCGUGCCUGAAUCAUCAUGUUGA